rnacentral:rRNA from 1 species
UACCCGCAGCACAAGUGGUGGUCAUUAUUAUUGGGCCUAAAGCGUCCGUAGCUGGCUUGUUAGAUGCCUGGGUAAAUCGAUGCGCUCAACGUAUCGAACUCCGGGUAGACCGGCAAGCUUGGGACCGGGAGAGGCGUGAGCUACUCGAGGGGUAGGGGUAAAAUCCUGUAAUCCUUCGGGGAGGACCAGUGGCGAAGGCGUCACGUUAGAACGGCUCCGACAGUGAGGGACGAAGCCCUGGGGCGCAAACCGG